rnacentral:rRNA from 1 species
UGGCCUGUAUUCAACUGCAUUGUUGUGAGCAGUUGGGCGCUGCAUCUCCAGAUUGGGACAGUCCUAACUUGCAAGCAACAAUGUUGUGCAUUUGCAGGUCGAGUGCGCCGAGACUUUCGAGAAGGCGAUAUGAGCUCAAUUUUGAGGCCAGCUUGCUGGUACCCGGAUUGGAGGAAUGUUGUUCGUUUUGGAUGUGAAUGGGGGAAAGGUUUUCGGGCUCGUAUGGGUUCGAAUUGGUGUGGGGUGGCAGUUGCAUGCAACAUGUGCCUUCUGCCAAUUCGGUCCUGUGCGAGCUCACAAUCCCACUCUCGGCGUAAAAGUUGGUCAUCUAUCCGACCCGUCUUGAAACACGGACCAAGGAGUUUAUCGUGUGCGCAAGUCAUUGGGUGUUGAAAACUCAAAGGCGCAAUGAAAGUAAAGAAUCCGCAAGGAUACGACGUGUGAUCUGAGCAAUCACGAUUGCCUGGAGCAACAUGGCCCCAUUCUGGUCGCUUGCGACGGGGUGGAGGAAGAG